rnacentral:tRNA from 1 species
GGCUAGUUAGUAUAGUAGUAUUAUCCUAGCUUAUUAUCGGCUAAUAAGAGUAGUUAAUUCGUACUCUUCCGUUCUUACGAUCGUAUACUAGGAGUUAUAGGUUCGAUUCCUAUACUAGCCG